CACAAAUAUAUUUAAUUGGAGAACAUGAUUUAUGACACCCAGCCCAGGGCUCAGUUUGAGAAUCUGAUUUAUGACACACCCAGCGGGGAAGGAGGGGGGGGAACAGGGUCACACGUGACAGUUAAAUUAUGUAUGCCAGAGUUGGCUUCACACAGGGCAGUGCCAGUAUGUCGCCUCUAAGGAAUCCUUUGAAGUUUUUUGAAGUUUGGCUCGAGAAUCACGAUUUAAUUAGGGCAAUUGCUGGAAUCCUGACAUUAACAGCUGCACAUGGUAACCUCUCUCUCUCUCUCUCUCCCACACACACACACACCCUUCCUUCUAUCUCUCAUUCAUUCUCUCCUUCUCUCCCUCCUUCUUUCUUUCUCUCUCGUUCUCUCAUUCUCUCUCAUUUUCUCUCUCAUUCUCUCUCAUUCUCUCUCUCCCUCUCUCUCUCGUUCUCUCCUCUCUCUCUCAUUCUCUCUCUCAUUCUCUCCCUGUUUCUCCCUCUCUCUCCCUCUCAUUCUCCCCCCCUCUCAUUCUCUCUCCCUCUCUCAUUCUCUCAUUCUCUCCCUCCUUCUUUCUUUCUCUCUCGUUCUCUCAUUCUCUCAUUUUCUCUCUCAUUCUCUUUCUCAUUCUCUCUCUCCUUCUCUCUCCCUCUCUCAUUCUCUCUCUCAUUCAUUCUCUCCUUCUCUCCCUCCUUCUUUCUUUCUCUCUCGUUCUCUCAUUCUCUCUCAUUCUCUUUCUCGUUCUCUUUCUCAUUCUCUCUCAUUCUCUUUCUCAUUCUCUCUCUCUCCCCCCCCUCUCCGUUGAAUUUUGCAGCAGUUCAGAUCGUAGGAAGAGAAAUAAAACAGGAAGUGGGAAAGAAUUGGAAAAGGAAGGAGAACACAACGCUCUAACUAUGUCAGCUUGACAAAAACUCCUAAGGAGUCUGGCAAUCUCCUUUUUGGACACAGUUUUAAAAUAAAAGGUGCAUUUUUUUAAAAAAAAAAUGAAAU
rnacentral:lncRNA from 1 species